rnacentral:rRNA from 1 species
GAUGAACGCUGGCGGCGUGCCUAAUACAUGCAAGUCGAGCGAACGGACGAGAAGCUUGCUUCUCUGAUGUUAGCGGCGGACGGGUGAGUAACACGUGGAUAACCUACCUAUAAGACUGGGAUAACUUCGGGAAACCGGAGCUAAUACCGGAUGAUAUUUUGAACCGCAUGGUUCAAAAGUGAAAGACGGUCUUGCUGUCACUUAUAGAUGGAUCCGCGCUGCAUUAGCUAGUUGGUAAGGUAACGGCUUACCAAGGCAACGAUGCAUAGCCGACCUGAGAGGGUGAUCGGCCACACUGGAACUGAGACACGGUCCAGACUCCUACGGGAGGCAGCAGUAGGGAAUCUUCCGAAAUGGGCGAAAGCCUGACGGAGCAACGCCGCGUGAGUGAUGAAGGUCUUCGGAUCGUAAAACUCUGUUAUUAGGGAAGAACAUAUGUGUAAGUAACUGUGCACAUCUUGACGGUACCUAAUCAGAAAGCCACGGCUAACUACGUG